ACCCACGACUAAAAUAUAACUAGAUAUAAUGGCAUUACAACGUAUUUUGGUCGUGAACAAAAUUCCUGUAUUUAACCAAUGAAAAUAUCGAAUAUAUUCAUGGAAAGAAAACUCAGUUAACAGUGAUUUUUAUCGCUGGAUCUCAGUGCUAAUAGGACAUGUAACGGAUAAAUUCACUGUCAGUCGUAGCUAUGAAUUCUUUAACUUUUCGAAACAGGUUUUGAACCAAAUGAUAAAUUAAAAUUCAACAAUUUUUUAAACACCAUACGAUAAAAACAAUUUAAUCUUUUUUUAAUUAUUUAAU